UUUCUUUAAUGUUCAUAUGCAAUUCAAAUUUCAAGAGAUAUUAUAGAACAUUACAUAUUUAUUUCAUCAGAUAGUUGAGAAUCCGAUAGAAAAUGUCUCGCAAACCGGAAAACAAACGUUAAAUCCGGAAAUUAAAACUUUAGAUAAAAAUUAAAAAGAAAAAAGGAAAAAGCAGAAAUUGAUAUAAAAUCAAAGGUGGAGGAGGGGAUGAGAUAAAGUUUUUGAUAUGUUUUACAAGAAACAAAGCAAAGCAAAGAGAGAGAUUAAGCAUCGGUGAAGCGAGGGGGCUUGUAGGCAAUGAAACUGAUGCACUGCACUUGACGGGUGUUGUCGAAUCCGAUGAUCCUGAUGAAGGCUUCAGGGUACUCCUUCUUGCACUCGUUAACUUCCUUCAACACUUGUGCUGAGUCAGUGCAUCCGAACAAGGGUAGCUUCCACAUUGUCCAGUACCUUCCAUCGUAGUAUCCGGGGGUGUUACCGUGCUCACGGUGCACAAACCCGUUCUAUAAUAUAAAAAAAAACCAAACCACACAUGUUACGACCACAACAACAACAACAACAACAAAAGUCCAAGAUCUAAGCUAGUUUAUGUUUUUUUCUUACCUCCAACUCGAAUUCAACACAGGGAAUCCACUUGUUGCGGAGGAGGUAGUCAACUUCCUUUCCCAACUCGACCUCGGAAAGGUCAGGAAGGUAAGAGAGAGUCUCGAACUUCUUCUUUCCGAUCGGAGGCCACACCUUUGAGAUUCAGACAAAACAACAUAUGAGUUCAUGUAAUUCGAACGAAAAAAGAAGAAGAAGAAAAAAGAUGUAUGACCUUCAUGCAGCUAACUCUUCCGCCGUUGCUUGUGAUGGAAGUAAUGUCGUUGUUGGCCUUGCGGGUGGAAGGGAAAGCAGCGGAGGACUUAAGUCCGGUGAAAGGAGCGACCAUAGUGGCCUGAGCCGGGGAGGCAACCAUUGUAGCGGAAGAGAGCAUAGAGGAAGCCAUUGUGUUCUUUCUCUUUUACUCUUUUGUGUGACUGAGGUUCUGUCUAGUGCUUUGGUCAUCUAUAUAUAAUGAUAAUAACAAUGAUAACAAUCACUUGAGUGAUCGUAGGGUCGAGGAAUCAUGAGGCUUGAGUGGGAAAGGAUUUAGACCGUUGGAUGAUGAGUGUGUGGAUAUGUGUGUGUGUGUGAGGUUUUAAGUCACUUGGUAACGGCCACAGAAGCCUAAGGUAAGGUCCUGAGAGACCCUUAUCGGUUUGUAACGCUAGAACAGUGCCACGUGGAAGAUAAAUCUUAUCGUUAUCUAUGAGUG
rnacentral:lncRNA from 1 species